rnacentral:misc_RNA from 1 species
AGGAAUUACAAGGAUUGUGAGAAGCAAUUGGAAGAAGCAAAAGCUUUAGCUAAAGAAGCUGGCACUGACGAGGACAUGGCUGAGAUGGUUGCUUCUGAAAUUCAAUCCUUGACAGAGCAAAUCAAAGAGCUAGAGGAGAAGUUUAAGUUAAUGCUCCUUCCAAGUGACCCUCUUGAUGCCAGGAAUAUAAUGCUUGAAGUCAGGGCAGGUGCUGGUGGGGAUGAGGCUGGAAUUUGGGCUGGUGAUCUUGUAGGUGCGUAUGUAUGAGAAAUAUAGUGAACGGAACUCUUGGAAGUUUGCUCCAAUCUCUUGCUCUGAGGCUGAAAAAGGAGGAUUUAAAACAUAUGUAAUGGAGAUCAAAGGCAACCGAGUCUAUAGUAAAUUGAAAUAUGAAUCUGGUGUUCAUCGAGUUCAACGUGUACCACUAACAGAAACUCAAGGCCGUGUUCACACUUCUACUGCAACAGUUGCUAUCAUGCCAGAGGCUGAUGAAGUUGAUGUGGAAAUUGACCCGAAGGAUAUAGAACUAACAACAGCACGUUCUGGUGGUGCUGGAGGGCAGAAUGUUAACAAGGUGGAGACUGCAGUUGAUCUUUACCAUAAACCAACAGGAAUUAGAAUCUUUUGUACUGAAGAAAGGAGUCAGCUUAAAAACAAGAAUCGUGCUUUUCAACUGUUGAGAGCAAAAUUGUAUGAGAUUAAGGUGAGGGAGCAGCA